rnacentral:lncRNA from 1 species
CUUGUCUAAAGGGCCCCAUGAGACCCAGGGAAUUCUGUUUCCCAGAUUUCAACCAAGUGCCUUUUCUGUUGGGACUUGAGUUGACAGGAGUGCCUAUCUGUGUGCCUUCGAGAAGGACCAGAAAAAUGCUGAUUGAGUAAGAUCCAUGAGAAGUGUGGGGCCAUUGGAUCUGAGUUCAUUUUGUAAGAAGAAAACCUGUGGUGAAGCGCUCCAGUUGAAAGAGCCUGACCUAUCAACCCUUCAAACAGCAUUUGCUGAGCCUGACAACCAUCCUCCGUCCUACCAGCAGAUGAAGUGCCUGACAGAGGCCAGUUACACUCACGUUACCCUUGCGCUUCGACUAAUCUACUUCCCACAGUUAUAAUACAGUGACUAUAUUUCACUCAUUUUUUUUUCUCCUUAAUGCCAGGCAACUAGAGGAGGCAAGACACCCGCAGGAACACAGUUCUCCAUACAUUCUGCCAUACUCAUAGAC